CGGGUGCGUAACACGUGAGGAACCUGCCCCGGUCUCUGGAAUAACAGUGGGAAACCACUGCUAAUACCGGAUAUCUCCUCGGAACCGCAUGGCUCUGAGAAGAAAGGGUUACCGGAUCGGGAGGGUCUCGCGGCCUAUCAGCUUGUUGGUGGGGUAAUGGCCUACCAAGGCUCCGACGGGUAGCUGGUCUGAGAGGACGAUCAGCCACACUGGGACUGAGACACGGCCCAG
rnacentral:rRNA from 1 species